CGAAUGGGCACAAUGCGAAUUCCACACACAAGCCACAAAGAAGCCAUCAGCCGCGGUCAACAGCACCUUCCUGAUUGAACAGAACCACGCGUUGUCUGUGUGGUUUACAAGUUUCUUGGCGAUAUGGGGGGAAAGUUCCUCACAUACCAACGGAAAAUGGGAUUCAUAUACAUGCUGCUGUCUCAUAAUAUGGCGAAGACGAGUCACCUGAAGGCCUAACUCGCCAUAGAAGACUGAAAGAAUUGUCCUGCAGGAUGCUGUGUCCUGCAAUCCUGUGUGCUGUGCUACAGACGCGUGUGGAGGUCAACCCAAAAUGGGCACAGUCUCACCACAGAAGAGUGAAAGAGGAUCCUGGCAGGGAGACGGUAGUGUCCUGCAGAAUGGUGAUGGGCCAAUCUUACAAGAGACCACAGAAAACUGAUAUAGUGAACUAUAGAAACAACAGUGCCUGCUGCAGUAUAACGAGGACACCCUGAGCAGAGAGCUCCAAUAGACCCAGGUCCAGUGUCUUGGCAGGGUGAAAUGGCACUGAUAUGGUGUCCUGCAGGAUGCUGUGUCCUGCAAUCCUGUGUGCUGUGCUACAGACGCGUGUGGAGGUCAACCCAAAAUGGGCACAGUCUCACCACAGAAGAGUGAAAGAGGCUCCCAGAAGUGAGACUGAGUGCCUGUUGCAGUAUGACGAGGACGCAGUGACCAGAGACCUUCAGUAGACCCUGCUGGCAUGAUUGGCGUCUGAAGAACAUGAAAUCAACAGCAAUGUUUAUAAUGUUGUACAUACCUGUAUAGUCUGUAUUAAAAGGCAGUACCUGUA